UCUAGACUUAGCUGCUAUUGAAGCUCCAUCUACAAAUGGAUAAGACUUUGGUCUAAUUGUAUAGGAGUUUUUGAACUAAAAAAGGAGCAAUAAUGCCCUCUUGUUUUAUCAAGAGGGAAGCUAUUGCUCCUUUUUUUAUUUACUUACAUAAUUUCUUUAAAAGUAACAAGGACUUUUUAUAGUUUGGUUGGAUUCGCGUAUUUUCUCUUUGUAUUUUUUCAUUUAUAUUA
rnacentral:misc_RNA from 1 species